GGUUUGUGGGAGUCGUAGUCCUAGCGCGCUCUGCCGCGCAGCUGCUUUAAGGGCUCGGGAAGGAGCGCGGAGGCCGCGACCUCACCUCAGCGAAGCGCUCCGCUCCCUCCUUUCCUUCCCGCCCCGAGGCCCCUUGGGGACUGCAGCUCCCAGAGGCCUUUGCGGCAGCUCCGUCGCGCACCGCUCCGCCCGGGCUCAGCGCGGUGCAUGGUGGGACGGCAGUUCCAAAAUGGACCAUCACCACCACCACCACCGGGAUGCUCCGGGGAAGGCCAGUCGGUGGUUUGGGGUCGCGCAGUCGAAAUCGGCCAAAACGACGGCGAAUAUCCUGCAGCAAGAGGAGCUGAUAGCGCAGAA